AGGAACUCCUGUUCCUUUGUUGAAAGAUGGCUUCGGCUAUCACUUACAGAUGGGCCCGCGGCGCAUUAGCUAGUUGGUGAGGUAACGGCUCACCAAGGCGACGAUGCGUAGCCGACCUGAGAGGGUGAUCGGCCACACUGGGACUGAGACACGGCCCAGACUCCUACGGGAGGCAGCAGUAGGGAAUCUUCCGCAAUGGACGAAAGUCUGACGGAGCAACGCCCCGUGAGCGAUGAAGGCCUUCGGGUCGUAGAGCUCUGUUGUUAGGGAAGAACAAGUGCUAGUUAAAUAAGCUGGCACCUUGACGGUACCUAACCAGAAAGCCACGGCUAACUACAUGCCAGCACCCGCGGUAAUACGUAGGUGGCAGACGUUGUCCGGA
rnacentral:rRNA from 2 species